rnacentral:rRNA from 1 species
CUGUUCAAUGAAUUAAAUAUUUAAAUAAUUGCAGUAUUUUAACUGUGCAAAGGUAGCAUAAUCAUUUGUUUUUUAAUUGAGAACUAGAAUGAAGGAUUGAAUGAGAAACUAACUUUUUUAAAUUUAAUAAAUAAUAAAAUUUUUUUAUAAAGUAAAAAAACUUUAAUAAGUAUAAAAGACGAUAAGACCCUAUAAAAUUUUAUAUUUAUUAAUAAAUUAUAUUUAAAUUUAAUUGUAUAUUUGUAAGUAAAUAUUUAAUUGGGGUGAUUUUAAAAUUUUAAAAACUUUUAAAUUUAACUAAAAAUUAUAUAUAAUUUUUAAUAAUACAGAUUUUUAAAAAUAAUUAAAUUACUUUAGGGAUAACAGCAUAAUUUUUUUUUUUAGUUCAAAUUAAUAAAUAAGAUUAUGACCUCGAUGUUGAAUUAAAAUAAAUAAUUUAUAGAAGAAAAUAAUUUAUUUAGUCUGUUCGACUA